rnacentral:rRNA from 1 species
UAGGGAAUCUUCCACAAUGGGCGCAAGCCUGAUGGAGCAACACCGCGUGAGUGAAGAAGGGUUUCGGCUCGUAAAGCUCUGUUGUUGGAGAAGAACGUGCGUGAGAGUAACUGUUCACGCAGUGACGGUAUCCGACCAGAAAGUCACGGCUAACUACGUGCC